CUAAUAAGUUUUCAUCUUGUGACUUAAGCAAUUAAAGAAUGUGAUAUUGAUCUAGAUGGAUGAGCUCUUGAAGUUGUAGGCAUUGGCUACACUUGGGAUGAAUUGCUCUGGACUGCUGCAUGGUUGUAUCAAACAUCUAACAAUCAAUAUUACUUGGAUUAGCUCGGUAGAAAUGGUGACUCCAUGGGUGGAACCGGUUGCCAAAUGACUGAAUUUAGUUGGGAUGUAAAGUAUCCUGGUGUUCAGACUUUGGUUUCCAAGUUCCUAUUGCCAGGAAAAGCUGGCAUUCAUACAUCGGUGUUUGAAAGAUAACUGGAAAAGUCGGAGUACUUCAUGUUCAUGCAUGGGAAGGGGUACUCACAAUGUUAAGAGGACACCCGGUGGCCUUAUAUACUGCCAGAGAUGGAACGACUUACAGUUCACCACAAGUUCCUCCUUUUUAACUAUGUCUAUUCUGAUUGUCUCGCUUCUUCUGCUAGGGACUUGAAAUGUGCUUCUAGCUAUG